AAAUAAUUGUUGCCAGGGUUUCAGCGGUGACUCAUAGUCUCCGAGACAGGAUCCCUUGUUAGCAGGGGGCUAUCUGGGGAACACCAACCCCGUGUUGCCAAGGCACCUCGACCAGAGGGACCUGCACCUCCUUCUGCUCUUCAUUUGUUUUCCAAAACACUCGCCCCGGUGCAGUCGGGGUGCACGUGCAUAGGGGAGAGCUGUGUGCUCCCCAAAAGGGCUCUGCUUUGGCACAGCCGUCAGGCUCCUGUGUCUUUGCUUUCUUUUAAGAGCUAGGAGAGGGUUUCCUUUCAGGCCCUGAUCCUACUGUUUUAGAGGAAUCUUCUCCCUGCUGUGAGACCUCAGUUGGAUGAGGACGUGGCAGUGCAUCUUCAGAGCUGUCCGGUCACCGAGGAGAUGCGUCCUCCCUCAAAGAGGAGAUGGCCAUCACCAAAAAGCAUGCAGGUCUCCUUUCAUCCCAUCUUCCCCAUGGACGGAGAGACAACUGUGUAAGCAGAGGAACCUGUCCUCCAGACGUGGUCAAUACAGUCACCACUUGGCUGCCAAAUUAUUACGAGAGAGGAGAGGCUACUUCUUCAGCACUAAAGGUGACUCACAAGCAGCAUCACUCCAGGAAAGUUAAAAGUGAUAAUUCAGUAAGGCUCAAGGAUUAUGUGGGACUCGAGGGGGGCUAAACCAGCCUUUUGCAGGGGGCUGUCUCCUAGUGAUGAAUGGAGCUGGAAAACCUGGUCAGUUCAGAGCUGAUGAAAAAUAAAACACCAUCACCUCUUUGUGAGCA
rnacentral:lncRNA from 1 species